CAGGCGUGCGGGCUGGCGGACGUCAUCCACAAGCUUUGUGCGGAGCAUUUCUUCUUCGUGCAUGGAGGGAUAUGUUGAUGUAACUUGGCACAAAUGUUUGCCAUCAUGAAAUGGAGUGUCAUAGGCAAGAACCAGGUCCCUAGGUCUAAGAUCAAGGUCACACUUAGAGGUCAAAGGUCAAAUUGAAGAAUAACUUUGUCCAAGCAUGGAGCAUUUCUUCUUCAUUCUUGGAGGGAUUUUGAUGUAGCUUGGCACAAAUGUAAACUAGCAGACAGUGGAUCUCUCAGUUCUGGGUCAAAAGAGACAAAUGUAAACUAGCAGACAGUGGAUCUCUCAAUUAUUGAUGAGAAGGGUAUUACAACAUCUACAUUCAGGAAAACCUGGCCUUGAUAACAUGUUUAAGUCUUUCAUCUAAGAUCAUAUCACCAGUUGCAAUCCAGAACCUAGAUUUCAGCACCACUAAAUAGUAAAUUCGUAGGCCAUAAGUUUUACGUCCAGGAUCCCUCUUCAGCGGAAAAUUUAUCAGACAAUGAUUGUACUGCUGUACCUGGAUCUCAAGACAUUUACAUAACGGUAACUUAGUCUUUACAUUCAACCAGUUCUACUGGACUAGUAGACACAGACUGAUGAAAGUACUAAGGUUUGGACCAUAGACAGUAUAUUACUAACUGGAUCCAAGUUCAACUGAAAUGUAACUAAGCUUGCAGACCAACUGUUGUACACAACUAUUUGCAUACAAGCUCCUAUGAAAUUUUCUGUAAUGUUUAAAACAAUAUGAGUCUGAUUUAGAAUAAUAAGCCUCAAAGUGAAAUUUUAUUUUAAUAAAGAAGUUGAGAUUUUAAAACCAGGACAUGUAGAAUCACCUGUAUUGAUUAGCGACUUGUACAAUUCUUUUGUUUAUGAGAAUGUUUAUGUUUUUAAAUUUGAACCUAAGGUGGAAGCAAUCAGAUUUAAUUAUGAUGUGCACAAAUUGUUAAGUUUUUUUUACCUGGUAUCAGUACAAAGUGGACAAGAUAAACUCAUAACAGCUCGUCUUAUCAUAAAUAACACAUAUACUGACAAGAUAUGAAAACGAACAAGCGCAUGCUGAAUAUAUUUUUUUUUUCUACCAAAAGUAUCACAUUGUAAUGUUAACACAGACAGAUAUUCUAUACUCAUUGUUUUCAAAUUUAAUAAGCACAACAGAUCAUAAAACGAACACAAUGGGAAUAGUGUCAGUUUGUGUUGAACAAUUAAAGGUGAUACUUUUUUUAUUAAAAAUAUAUUCAAGCAUAUGUUUGUUGCGUUUUCAUAUCUUGUCAGUGUAUUGUCGUAAAUGUACAUGUCAUGUCAUGUCAUAUGUCUUUCAUUCCGUCAUUUCAUAUACUGCCAUUAGUUUGUUCAUGACUAUCAAUACUCAGGAAAUCACAUUCAGUAUGCUGUACAUAAAAUGGCUUUCAUAUAAUUCUUUUUGUACAUAGCAUAGACAAUACAUUUUUAAUUGACAUGUUAGUAUACUGUCUAUAUGUAGCAUUUCCAUUGUCACUUAAUUGAUGCCUAGUAUUUCGUUACAAUACUCGGGGAAUACACAUUUGUCAUACUAUCAUAUACCUGUUUGGAUUACUAGCACAGCUUUAGGUUUGGAGAAAAGAAUUGUGCUAACAGAAGUGUAAAUAUGUGUUCCUACUUUUAUUAUCUAGUUCUUGUUUGUUUUGAAUAUGUUUCCCGUAUUGUUUGGUACAUAAACAUACAUUGUUUCAGUAGAAUUUACAUGUAAAUAGGUUGUUGAAUUUUGACAGAAUUAUGCCCUUUUUUAACUUAGAUUUUUGUUAAAGUUUUUUGAUAAAGUCAAAUAUCUGUUACUAUCAAAGCUUUUGACUUAAAACUUAAAAUACUUAUUUACCAUCAAAGUCUACACCAGAAGAAACAAUCCCCGUAACUCUGGUUGAAUUUUGACAGAAUUAUGUCCCUUUUGAACUUAGAAUUUUUUUUUAAAUUAUUGAUAAUUUAAAGUCAAAUAUCUCAGUGUACUAUUAAAGCUUUUGACUAGAAACUCUAAAUACUUAUUUACUAUCUAAGUCUUCACCAGGAGACACAAUUGCCAUAACUCUGAUUUGAAUUUUGACAGAGUUGUGUCCUUUUUUAACUUGGAUUUUUUUACUGGCAAAGCUCUAAUUCAGAGACAAGCACUGAGAAAAUCUGAGCGUGCUGUCUUAUGGACAGCUCUUGUUUGUAUACAUAUUCUGCUGACACAUGUGUACAGUUAUACAUAUUGCACGGACUAUAGUAUACAAUAUCAUUUUCCCCUGACUGAAAUGAUUUAAACUUCCAUCAAAAAAUUAUACUCUUCUAAAUUUUGAUGUUGGAAAUUAUUUGGUUUUCUUCAUAUAUGCAUUUUUAUUUGUAAUACUGUUUGAACACAGUUGUAAGUGCUCUCAGUAACGUAUGGGGCCUUUGCAGACGAGUGGUUAAGGAGGACGACUUCGAGUCACUUGCACCUCACUUCUUAUAGUUUGAAAUGGAAGGUCAGUUGUUCUACCGAGAUACUAGCCCAUGCCUAAAAAUGCAGGGAGGACACUUUGGGUCUGCCCCACCAUCAAAAGCUGAGAAGUUGCUAUAUGACAUAAUUGUGUCUGUUGGAGGUUAAACAUAAUAAAUUGGUAGAAUAUACUCUGCCAUAUAUCCAUUUGCCCUCUGCCAUUUCAAAAGUAUUUGGAUUUGCUUACUUGUCAAGCUUGUAAAUAUGUAUAUAAACAUAAUAAUUUUUUUGCCAAGGUUGUGAAUAUAAAUGGGCAGCAGUAUUUAAAGUUUUGUUUUCUAUGUGUAAUUUGUGUACAUGUACAUUUAAGUGUUUACCACUGAAGUAACAGAAUUUUAUGUUACAGCUUAGUCUUUAGAAUAUAUAGUGUAGUAAAAUAAGUCAAACUAAAGAGCUAUAUGCAAUUUAGUAACUGUUACAUAGUUAAAUUUCUGUUUGUAUAUAAUUUCAUUCUGUUAUGCUUUGAUGUUAAAAUUGUAUAUUAUUUUUGUCUUCAUUCAAACAAUGAUUAUGUUUGAAAUGUUAUAUGGAAUUUGUUAAAUGAAUUCGGUAUAUGCUUAGUCUAAGAGCAUAAGAAGAAAAAUAGCCACUGGAGUAGAAUGUAGCUCUCUAACUCGUAUAUUUUCUGUUCAGUAAGGUAAAUUAUAAGCAAAACCACCUAUACAGAGCAGCAGCUUCUCCAAAUUAGAUUUUAUUCACUAUAAAAGAUACAGUAGUCCCACUGUUCAUUUAUCUAAUUAGCAACACUGUAUUUAAUUUAAUGUUGCCUGAAUGCUCUUAUGUAACUAUCUUUUAGGAAGAAACCAGUCAAAAUCAUGACUACUAUAUUUAGUAACAAUUUUCUAGUUCUGAAAGUAGAGAAAACCCGUAAGUUGAUAUCCAAAACAAAAAGUUUCCCUACCGCAUUAGAAAGAUAUGAAUGUAAAUCAGCAUAUGCCGGAGCAUAGAUAUUUCAUAUCAAAAUCCUGUUAGCCAUAUGAGUUACGUUUGCCCGUGAGACACUGCACUGUACACUUGUUGAUAAAUUUGCUAGAAAAUA